AUGAAAAAUAACUACAAGGUAAAUUCAGAUAAUCAAAAUGUCAUUGCGAGCCCGGGGGCGCCUGGAGAAGCGGUGAGGUGGCCGUUCGCGCCUCUUCGGCCUCGGGGUCUUCCCCGCUACUCCAGCGACGGGGCCCCCAGCGGCUCUGGGCCCCAAGGACCCGCAGGGAAAGUUCACAGGGUCCCCGCCGAGCACAAGCCUUCGCAAUUCGACAAGAAAAUCCUGCUGUGGACCGGACGUUUCAAAACGAUGGAGGAGAUCCCCCCUUGGGUGCCGCCAGAAAUGAUAGAUGCUGCAAGAAACAGAGCUCGGGCGAAAGCGUGUUACAUAAUGAUCGGAUUCACAAUUAUCGCCUGCUUUGCAGUGACCGCGUCAGCCAAAAGGGCUGUGGAACGACACGAAUCCUUAACAAGUUGGAACCUGGCAAAGAAGGCUAAGUGGCAUGAAGAGGCUGCGUUGGCUGCACAAGCUAAGGCUAAAUGAUAUUCUGAAGUGUUCAUUGGAAUAUCAUCACUAUUAUCAGCAACGAUAAAAGAUAGGUAAAAUAGAAU